rnacentral:tRNA from 1 species
GGGAUUGUAGCUCAGGGGUGGAGCACUUGCCUUGCAAGCAUGAGGCCUUGGGUUCAAUCCCA